rnacentral:rRNA from 1 species
AACGAACGCUGGCGGCAUGCCUAACACAUGCAAGUCGAACGAGACCUUCGGGUCUAGUGGCGCACGGGUGCGUAACGCGUGGGAAUCUGCCCUCUGGUUCGGAACAACAGUUGGAAACGACUGCUAAUACCGGAUAAUGACUUCGGUCCAAAGAUUUAUCGCCUGAGGAUGAGCCCGCGUCGGAUUAGCUUGUUGGUGAGGUAAAAGCUCACCAAGGCGACGAACCGUAGCUGGUCUGAGAGGAUGAUCAGCCACACUGGGACUGAGACACGGCCCAGACUCCUACGGGAGGCAGCAGUGGGGAAUAUUGGACAAUGGGCGAAAGCCUGAUCCAGCAAUGCCGCGUGAGUGAUGAAGGCCUUAGGGUUGUAAAGCUCUUUUACCCGGGAUGAUAAUGACAGUACCGGGAGAAUAAGCCCCGGCUAACUCCGUGCCAGCAGCCGCAGUAACAC